CAAGCCAUUGUUCUUUCCCAAAGGAUAAAAUACCUAUCUAUGGAUUUAUUUCUGGAGAAGAAAAUUUAUUAUUAAGGUAAAUUUAAAAAUUAACUUAGAUAAUCAUAUUAGAAUUCAAUAGUCUCAUAAUAAACAGUAGGGUUUCCUAUUCAUAAGAUAUGUUUGCGAGAAGACCUCUGAUUAAUGAGUAUACCAUCAUUGAAUGGUUAUACAGAGUUAACACUAAUUUGUGUACUCUCGCUGUCUAAUCAAGUGCUGUAGUUUGCCAUUCUAUGAUUCUUUACAUGAAAAGUAAAACAAUUCACCUCUAUUGUUAAAGAAAACGUGUUGCACAAUAUAGGAUGGCAAUACUUAAAGCCGCAGGCACCAUUCCAUGCUGCUGGAGCUCAGAGGUCCUUAGUGUAAAGCAAAGUCCACCACUGCUGUAAGUGUGAACACUCCUGAGUGUAAAGCUGUAAGUGUGAACACUCCUGAGUAUAAAGCUGUAAGUGUGAACGCCCCUUAGUGUGAAGCAGAGCUUUACCACUGCUGUAAGUGUGAAGUUACAUCGCCUUAAACACAGUCUUAACUAAGUAUUUUCAUAUGCCAAGUGACAGGUUCAGAACUGUGAUCACACACACACACACACACACACACACACACACACACACAAAUGCACGCGCAAAAAUAAAGUCUCUUCCCUGUAGCUCCUCCUAUCUCAGUCAUCUCCGAGUCUUUAUGAAACGGCCCGGUCCAGGCAUCCUGGUGAAAGGCGGCACUGCACUUAUACAUCACGUUAAUUAGUAGAGUUCAAAGACCUGUGUAAACAUUACCUAAUUAAACUUCACAACAAGUCAGUGAAGCAAGAGAGCUUUACCCAUUAUCCUCAUUCACAGAAGCUAGAUUUUGAGGUACUAGGAGGCUAAGUGAUUUCUUAGUUUCACAAUGUUGAGUCAGAAGUGAGACUGGGAACAAGACCAGAACUCAGAUAUAAUACUGGAGCCAUGGAAAUGCCUAUUCAGGUGGAUCACUCUAUCAGCUGGAAGGUAGCCUCCUACUUAAAUACUAAGAGUAAGUGCAAUGGAAUGUGUAUGAAUGCAUGUUGUCUUGUAGAUCAGUAAACAUUCUGAAGCCUUAUUUGCUCUGGUGGCAGUCAUAUCUGGGAUACAUGGAGCCUAACUGUCUUAGUUAUGUUUGUGUAGCUGAGACUAUAAUACCUGAGAGGAAAAAAAAUGGAAAAUUAAGGAAUGAUUUGUUGUUACUCCUAAUUUCAGAGGCUUCACUCUGUCAGGGAAAUCAAGAGAGAAAGUUAUACUGGGGUAGGCAGAAAGCACAGGAAGGGAAAGGAAGAGGCCAGUGACAAGUUAUCAGGAGAAACCGUCUUCCUCCAGCUUGGUUCUGCCCCUAAGGUUUUCAGAUCCUCUCAGACUACCAGCUUGGGACUUAGUGUUCAACACCCGAGUCAUGUAGAGUCAUUCAUAUGGACUCCAUUGCACACUCGUUAAUUAGAACCCCUAACAGUAAGAGUAUUUUCUCCCAAGCAUCUUUCUGCCAUUUCUAGGAAGUCUCAGGAGUGCUGGCAAAUGAGGCAUUAGAAGACAUCCAGACAGCACAUCCCAUUCUUUCUGUCAUUCUUUCUCUGUGCUUUGUCUCCUAUAUGAUACAUGCAUGGCAAUGACAUGUCAGAAUAAUUAUGUUCACCAUAAAGGCAACAUCUGGGGAAACCAGCAUAGUGGCAGGUUUAUGACCAAGCUAAGGAUCUUGAGCUGUAUUAGAUUUCAUCAACUUGGAUACAGAUAUUUGGUGGGGUACAGAAAUUCCUAGCGUAACUAUUAAGUAGUCCCAUUAACUUCUGCCUCAAAUAAUUUUCCUGAACAGCUGAAGGGAUGCAAGCUUCUCUUCUCUUCCUAUAAGCAAAUCUUAGUCUCUGCAAAAGGAUCAUGCUGCAUCUGCAGAUCUGGAUAUGGACAUAGCUUAGAGACUGGUGAGCUAAAUAUCUAAGUCUAUAUUGACAGCAAAAGCUUCAGGAGGUCCCUGAAACUGAGCAGAAUCACCAGGUCCCUCUAGUCACAAUGUGUAAAAGCUGCAUGAACUCUCAGGUAAAGUGAGAAGUGCCUGGAAGAGAUAAUCUGUAACCUGUUGGGCUGCCUGGAAAGAGAUACUUUCUAACCUGUUGAGCUGCUUUCAAAUUAUGCAGUGUGUUUCAGGUUACAGCUUUUGUGAGUCAUCACUCAUGCUGGACGGGCUUUUGGUGAGACAGUUGUCUCAGUCGUUCCUGUUCUCGUAAAUAACCCCUCAACCAUAUUCCUCUGGACCCUCAAUGAAACUCCCUGUACUAUGAAGUUGGAACUCCAUGGCAUCCUUACUCAGGUCUGCUGCCAGUUCUCUGGAUGGGGGCCUUACAAGAUGGAAGAUGGCAUCUCACAUCUCCCCAGGAACAGAGUUACACAAGGAGCUUCCACACUCUUACCAUUGAGUGCAAUAUUUCCUGUGCAAGGCCUGAGUCAACGGUGCUGAUGCAACACCAUCUUCACUCUCCAUAAAGUGAACAGCCCCAAACAAGGAGUUAAGAAGAAUCUAGGGCUGAAUGGGUUUGACAAAGGCUGUCUUCCCCUACAAAGACCAUCCUCAUCUUCUAGUAAAGAAGCUUGGACGAAGACAACCCCCUGGUUUCUGACGAAGACUGUUUGAGCCCAUCAGUGAGAUGUCUAUUGCUGAGAGUGAGGUUCUUCAACAGGUUCAAGAAGCACAGUGAUGAACAAGACACAGUCCUGGAUGCUGAGGUCCCAGUACAGUGGAAGUCCUACCGUAAUGAUGUUCCUACCGUAAUUCUCAGGAUUGCCCACGUGUCACAUCCCAAAAUGCUCCUUUAUAUUUCUGGUCUCCUUUUCUUUUUUAUUUAUAUUCAAAACCACCAUUUUUAUUAGCUCUUUGAUAAUUCCAAGCAAUGUUUUACUCAUAUUUACACCUUUCCCCCAACUAUACCCCUUCUAUAUCUUUAUUGGUUUGCUGUACAUGAACCAAUAGAAUAGAAAAUCCAAAAAUUGA